rnacentral:rRNA from 1 species
AAAGGAAUAGACGGGGGCCCGCACAAGCGGCGGAGCAUGCGGAUUAAUUCGAUGCAACGCGAAGAACCUUACCUAGGUUUGACAUAUACGAGAAGCCUCUAGAGAUAGAGGUCUCUUUGGACACUCGUAUACAGGUGGUGCAUGGCUGUCGUCAGCUCGUGUCGUGAGAUGUUGGGUUAAGUCCCGCAACGAGCGCAACCCUCGUCUUAUGUUGCCAGCACGUAAUGGUGGGGACUCAUAAGAGACUGCCGGGGUCAACUCGGAGGAAGGUGGGGAUGACGUCAAGUCAUCAUGCCCCUUAUGCCUAGGGCUUCACGCAUGCUACAAUGGCCGGUACAAAGGGCUGCGAUACCGCAAGGUGGAGCGAAUCCCAAAAAGCCGGUCUCAGUUCGGAUUGGGGUCUGCAACUCGACCCCAUGAAGUCGGAGUCGCUAGUAAUCGCAGAUCAGCAACGCUGCGGUGAAUACGUUCCCGGGCCUUGUACACACCGCCCGU